rnacentral:rRNA from 1 species
AUUGAACGCUGGCGGCAUGCUUUACACAUGCAAGUCGAACGGUAACAGGCCGCAAGGUGCUGACGAGUGGCGAACGGGUGAGUAAUGCAUCGGAACGUGCCCAGUCGUGGGGGAUAACUGCUCGAAAGAGCAGCUAAUACCGCAUACGAUCUAUGGAUGAAAGCGGGGGACCGUAAGGCCUCGCGCGAUUGGAGCGGGCGAUGUCAGAUUAGGUAGUUGGUGGGGUAAAGGCUCACCAAGCCAACGAUCUGUAGCUGGUCUGAGAGGACGACCAGCCACACUGGGACUGAGACACGGCCCAGACUCCUACGGGAGGCAGCAGUGGGGAAUUUUGGACAAUGGGGGCAACCCUGAUCCAGCAAUGCCGCGUGCAGGAAGAAGGCCUUCGGGUUGUAAACUGCUUUUGUACGGAACGAAAAGACUCUGGUUAAUACCUGGGGUCCAUGACGGUACCGUAAGAAUAAGCACCGGCUAACUACGUGCCAGCCGCCGCCGUAACAC